rnacentral:rRNA from 1 species
GUCCGAACGAACUUCCGUUUAAUUUCGAUUUAUGACGUACUUUAGUACUGAUUGAGAUUUUAACACGAAGUGAGUGGCGAACGGGUGAGUAACACGUGGGUAACCUGCCCAGAAGUAGGGGAUAACACCUGGAAACAGAUGCUAAUACCGUAUAACAGAGAAAACCGCAUGGUUUUCUUUUAAAAGAUGGCUCUGCUAUCACUUCUGGAUGGACCCGCGGCGUAUUAGCUAGUUGGUGAGGUAAAGGCUCACCAAGGCAGUGAUACGUAGCCGACCUGAGAGGGUAAUCGGCCACAUUGGGACUGAGACACGGCCCAGACUCCUACGGGAGGCAGCAGUAGGGAAUCUUCCACAAUGGACGCAAGUCUGAUGGAGCAACGCCGCGUGAGUGAAGAAGGGUUUCGGCUCGUAAAGCUCUGUUGUUAAAGAAGAACGUGGGUAAGAGUAACUGUUUACCCCAGUGACGGUAUUUAACCAGAAAGCCACGGCUAACUACGUGCCAGCAGCCGCGGUAAUACGUAGGUGGCAAGCGUUAUCCGGAUUUAUUGGGCGUAAAGCGAGCGCAGGCGGUCUUUUAAGUCUAAUGUGAAAGCCUUCGGCUCAACCGAAGAAGUGCAUUGGAAACUGGGAGACUUGAGUGCAGAAGAGGACAGUGGAACUCCAUGUGUAGCGGUGAAAUGCGUAGAUAUAUGGAAGAACACCAGUGGCGAAGGCGGCUGUCUGGUCUGCAACUGACGCUGAGGCUCGAAAGCAUGGGUAGCGAACAGGAUUAGAUACCCUGGUAGUCCAUGCCGUAAACGAUGAUUACUAAGUGUUGGAGGGUUUCCGCCCUUCAGUGCUGCAGCUAACGCAUUAAGUAAUCCGCCUGGGGAGUACGACCGCAAGGUUGAAACUCAAAAGAAUUGACGGGGGCCCGCACAAGCGGUGGAGCAUGUGGUUUAAUUCGAAGCUACGCGAAGAACCUUACCAGGUCUUGACAUCUUCUGACAGUCUAAGAGAUUAGAGGUUCCCUUCGGGGACAGAAUGACAGGUGGUGCAUGGUUGUCGUCAGCUCGUGUCGUGAGAUGUUGGGUUAAGUCCCGCAACGAGCGCAACCCUUAUUACUAGUUGCCAGCAUUAAGUUGGGCACUCUAGUGAGACUGCCGGUGACAAACCGGAGGAAGGUGGGGACGACGUCAAAUCAUCAUGCCCCUUAUGACCUGGGCUACACACGUGCUACAAUGGAUGGUACAACGAGUCGCGAGACCGCGAGGUUAAGCUAAUCUCUUAAAACCAUUCUCAGUUCGGACUGUAGGCUGCAACUCGCCUACACGAAGUCGGAAUCGCUAGUAAUCGCGGAUCAGCAUGCCGCGGUGAAUACGUUCCCGGGCCUUGUACACACCGCCCGUCACACCAUGAGAGUUUGUAACACCCAAAGCCGGUG